AGGCUACAUGUCUCUGCAGUCCCAAUCUGGUGCUGUAUGCUGGAGGAUUCCCGGAGAGCUGCUGGUCUUUAGUCUGUGCUGGAAUCCUGAAGAAGUUAUAUUUAAUCCCAGCCUCAGCCAGGGUCGAGUGAGGGUGCAAAUUGUUCUGCAAGAUGUCUGCUUGCAGAGUUGUCUUUCAGCCUCAGCUGCUUUUAAAGAGGUGUUCUUCACACAAGUAGCUGACCCUCCAUCUUCUGCCCAGUGCAAACUUCUGCUUUCACCUUAAAAUAAAUUUCUUACUUCUGUAUUGUCAGUAAA